CCUACGGGUGGCAGCAGUGGGGAAUAUUGCACAAUGGGGGAAACCCUGAUGCAGCGACGCCGCGUGAGUGAAGAAGUAUCUCGGUAUGUAAAGCUCUAUCAGCAGGGAAGAAAAUGACGGUACCUGACUAAGAAGCCCCGGCUAACUACGUGCCAGAUGCCGCGUUAAUCCGUAGGGGGCAAGCGUUAUCCGGAUUUACUGGGUGUAAAGGGAGUGUAGACGGGGCUGUAAGUCCGGAGUGAAAGCCCAUGGCUUAACCAUGGUACUGCUCUUGAAACUGUGGAGCUGGAGUGCGGGAGGGGCAGGCGGAAUUCCUAGUGUAGCGGUGAAAUGCGUAGAUAUGAGGAAGAACACCGACGGCGAAGGCGGCCUGCUGGACCGUAACUGACGCUGAAGCACGAAAGCGUGGGUAUCGAACAGGAUUAGAUACCCCAGUAGUC
rnacentral:rRNA from 1 species